rnacentral:rRNA from 1 species
GGCUCAGAACGAACGCUGGCGGCAGGCUUAACACAUGCAAGUCGAGCGCCCCGCAAGGGGAGCGGCAGACGGGUGAGUAACGCGUGGGAAUCUACCCUUUUCUACGGAAUAACGCAGGGAAACUUGUGCUAAUACCGUAUAAGCCCUUCGGGGGAAAGAUUUAUCGGGAAAGGAUGAGCCCGCGUUGGAUUAGCUAGUUGGUGGGGUAAAGGCCUACCAAGGCGACGAUCCAUAGCUGGUCUGAGAGGAUGAUCAGCCACAUUGGGACUGAGACACGGCCCAAACUCCUACGGGAGGCAGCAGUGGGGAAUAUUGGACAAUGGGCGCAAGCCUGAUCCAGCCAUGCCGCGUGAGUGAUGAAGGCCCUAGGGUUGUAAAGCUCUUUCACCGG